UACGGAGGGUGCAAACGUUGCUCGGAAUCAUUGGGCGUAAAGCGCACGUAGGCGGCCUGUUAAGUCGGGUGUGAAACCCCCAGGCUCAACCUGGGGACGCCACCCGAUACUGCUGUGGCUAGAGUCCAGUAGGGGAGUGUGGAAUUCCCGGUGUAGCGGUGAAAUGCGUAGAUAUUGGGAGGAACACCGGUGGCGAAGGCGGCAUCCUGGACCGACACUGACGCUGAGGAGCGAAAGCCAGGGGAGCAAACGGG
rnacentral:rRNA from 1 species